rnacentral:rRNA from 1 species
AACACGACUCUCGGCAACGGAUAUCUCGGCUCUCGCAUCGAUGAAGAACGUAGCGAAAUGCGAUACCUGGUGUGAAUUGCAGAAUCCCGCGAACCAUCGAGUCUUUGAACGCAAGUUGCGCCCGAGGCCUUCUGGCCGAGGGCACGCCUGCCUGGGCGUCACG